rnacentral:rRNA from 1 species
CUACGGGUGGCUGCAGCGAGGAAUAUUGCACAAUGGGGGGAACCCUGAUGCAGCAACGCCGCGUGGAGGAUGACGCAUUUCGGUGUGUAAACUCCUUUUAUAUGUCAAGAAAAUGACGGUAGCAUAUGAAUAAGCACCGGCUAACUCCGUGCCAGCAGCCGCGGUAAUACGGAGGGUGCAAGCGUUACUCGGAAUCACUGGGCGUAAAGGACGCGUAGGCGGGCUUGUAAGUCAGGUGUGAAAUCCUACAGCUUAACUGUAGAACUGCACUUGAAACUACGAGCCUAGAGUAUGGGAGGGGGAGAUGGAAUUAGUGGUGUAGGGGUAAAAUCCGUAGAUAUCACUAGGAAUACCUAAAGCGAAGGCGAUCUCCUGGAACAUAACUGACGCUAAGGCGUGAAAGCGUGGGGAGCAAACAGGAUUAGAUACCCCUGUAGUC